CUUUACUGCAACUUGACGUUGGAACUUGGCUGUAUUUGUGUAGGAUAGGUGGGAGACUUUGAAGCAGGGCCGCCAGGUCUUGCUGAGUCGUCGUUGAAAUACCACCCUGGUGCUGACGAGUUUCUAACCGUGUCCGUAAGCCGGGCACGAGACAUCGUCUGGUGGGCAGUUUGACUGGGGCGGUCGCCUCCUAAAAGGUAACGGAGGCAUUCAAAGGUUCCCUCAGCGUGGUCGGUAAUCACGCGAAGAGUGCAAACGCAUAAGGGAGCUUAACUGCGAGACCGACAGGUCGAGCAGGUACGAAAGUAGGAGUUAGUGAUCCCGCGGUUUAGCGUGGAAUUGCCGUUGCUCAGUGGAUAAAAGGUA
rnacentral:rRNA from 1 species